GGGCCCGUAGCGCAGUGGAUUACAGCUCCAUAAAGCGCACCGGCCUCCGGAGCCGGUGGUCCCGGGUUCGAAUCCCGGCGGGCCCG
rnacentral:tRNA from 1 species